GCAGUGACCGUGGCAGUGGAGGAGGAGGAUGAGGUAGCCAACACUAUUUUUAUAUAUAUAUAUAUAUUUUAAUUGGGGUAGCCCCCAAAAUAUUGGGACAUAUAUAAAAAGACAACUCUGUUCCGCAGAGUAGCUGUUGAAAUUAUAGUUGUGCAGGCACUUUAUUGACUCUAGAGAACCUCGGGCCAAUGGUACAUCCCCGUGGCAGCGACUUUGCAUGCGGAUGUCAUCCAUAUCAACUUUCGAUGCCAAUUUCUGCGCCUACCAUGGUGACCACGGGUAACAGGGAAUCGGGGUUCCAUUCCGUACAGGGACCCUGAGAAACGGCUACCACAUGCAAGGAAGGCAGC